UGGGGAAUUUUGGACAAUGGGCGAAAGCCUGAUCCAGCCAUGCCGCGUGCAGGAUGAAGGCCUUCGGGUUGUAAACUGCUUUUGUACGGAACGAAAAGACCUCGGUUAAUACCUGGGGUCCAUGACGGUACCGUAAGAAUAAGCACCGGCUAACUACGUGCCAGCAGCCGCGGUAAUACGUAGGGUGCAAGCGUUAAUCGGAAUUACUGGGCGUAAAGCGUGCGCAGGCGGUUAUAUAAGACAGAUGUGAAAUCCCCGGGCUCAACCUGGGAACUGCAUUUGUGACUGUAUAGCUAGAGUACGGCAGAGGGGGAUGGAAUUCCGCGUGUAGCAGUGAAAUGCGUAGAUAUGCGGAGGAACACCGAUGGCGAAGGCAAUCCCCUGGGCCUGUACUGACACUCAUGCACGAAAAGCGUGGGGAGCAAACAGGAUUAGAUACCCUGGUAGUCCACGCCCUAAACGAUGUCAACUGGUUGUUGGGUCUUUCACUGACUCAGUAACGAAGCUAACGCGUGAAGUUGACCGCCUGGGGAGUACGGCCGCAAGGUUGAAACUCAAAUGAAUUGACGGGGGUCAUAGCU
rnacentral:rRNA from 1 species